UACGUAGGUGGCAAGCGUUACUCGGAAUCACUAGGCGUAAAGCGCAGGUAGGCGGUUUGAUAAGUCUGUUGUGAAAGCUCCCGGCUCAACUGGGAGAGGCCAACGGAAACUGUCAGGCUAGAGUGUGGUAGAGGAGACUGGAAUUCCUGGUGUAGCGGUGAAAUGCGUAGAUAUCAGGAGGAACACCUAUGGCGAAAGCAGGUCUCUGGGCCAUCACUGACGCUGAGCUGCGAAAGCUAGGGGAGCAAACAGG
rnacentral:rRNA from 1 species